ensembl:lncRNA
GGGGUCCUGGACUGGACCGUGGCUGUGGGGUGGAGAGCAGCGGCUAGAUGCUGGGUGGACUUUGGGUCCAGGAAGCUGACCCAGGGGUUUGGGUCCAAGUCAGCACGGGUCUGGAGGAGGUACCAUUGGCUGGAGUGAGGGAAGGCUGGAAGAGGAUGUUUGAAUGACAAGGGGCCGGAUGCCCUUGCCUUCAGAGCGACCCUGUGGGGUCAGGCUGACGUAUUCCCGUUUUUCAGAGGAGGAGACGGAUGCACAGCGGUGCGGUGACUCCUCAGGGACCGCACAGCGUCUGAUCCAGAAACGCUGGUUCAUGGGCGGAGGAGGCCUGCCUGGGAAACUCACUGCAGGAAAUCGUAAAGGAGCAAAAGUGGGAACAGCCUCGGCGCCCGUCAAGGGGCAGGGCUGGGGCAGUCGUAUGAAGGCGGCCAGGGUGGGUGACAUUGAGAUUGGCAGGCGUGGGUAGGCAGGACUGUGCAGGGGCCAAGAACAUUCUGGACUUGAGUCCCGGGUCCACCGCCUGCUGGCUUUGCGACCUCCGCCUCUGUCAAUGGUGACAGUCAUGGAACAGCUCGUGGGCUGGCGCCUGUGGGCACGCUGGCAGCAGAGGCGUUCCGCAGGAGUGUCAUCUGCUGUAUGCCAAGGACGCUCUGCCAGUCUCACCCUGUACACAGCAGGCGAUUAAUCAGUGCCCAUCCACUAGGGCAGCAUUGCUCCAUCUUGACACCAUGGACAUUUGGGGGUCUUCUCUUGGGAGGAACACCAUUGUAGGUCUCCAGCCACUAGAUGCCAUCAGCACCCCUGGUCCUGGCAGCCAAGAAUGUCUCCAGACAUAGCCAAGUGUCCCCAGGGGCAGCAGCAUCCAUGGCUGAGCACUGCUGGCCCACGGGAUCCGUUCUAGGCUCCACUCUCCAGACCUGGGCUGCCCGACACGGCAUCCACAGGGCCACAGGUGAUGCUGGAGCCCUGGAACCGUGGACGCUCCACGCUGCGGGCUGCAAGUGCAAAACAUGCCAGGCUGGCGAGACAGCAUGAAAAAAAGAAGGUGAAAUAUCUCACCUGUAAUAUUUGUAUGCAGAAAUGAUAUUAUUUUGGAUAUGGGGUGAAUAAGAUACAUUAUUAAAAUUAAUUGCCUGGCGCAGUGGCUCACACCUGUAAUCCCAGCACUUUGGGAGGCCGAGGCGGGCGGAUCACCUGAGGUUGGGAGUUCGAGACCAGCCUGAGCAACAUGGAGAAACCCUGUCUCUACGAAAAAUACAAAAUUAGCCAGGCGUGGUGGCACACGCCUGUAGUCCCAGCUACUCAGGAGGCUGAGACAGGAGAAUCGCUUGAACCUGGGAGGCAGAAGUUGUGCUGAGCCGAGAUUGUGCCAUUACACUCCAGCCUGGGCAACAAGAGCAAAACUCCGUCUCAAAAAUAAAAUAAAUAAAAGUAAUUUCACAUGUUUCUCUUUUUUUGCUAUAACUACUAGAAAAUUUAAAAAUGGCCAAGCGUGGUGGUUCAUGCCUGUAAACUCAGUGCUUUGGGAGGCUUGAGACCAGGCGUUAAAGACCAGCCUGGGCAACAUAGCAAGAUCCCAUCUCCACACACAAUAAAGAAGAAAUUAGCCAGACGUGGUGGCACCUGCCUACAGUCCUAGCUACUCCAAAGGCUGAGGUGGCAAGAUCACUUCAGCCCAGAAGUUGGAGGCUACAGUGAGCUAUGAUUGCACCACUGCACUCCAGCCUGGGUGACAGCAACACACUGUCUAAAAAAAAAAAAAAAAAAAAAAAAAAAAAAG